rnacentral:rRNA from 1 species
AGAUUGAACGCUGGCGGCAUGCCUUACACAUGCAAGUCGAACGGCAGCACGGGGGCAACCCUGGUGGCGAGUGGCGAACGGGUGAGUAACAUAUCGGAACGUGCCCUGGAGUGGGGGAUAACUAGUACGAAAGACUAGCUAAUACCGCAUACGAUCUACGGAUGAAAGUGGGGGAUCGCAAGACCUCAUGCUCGUGGAGCGGCCGUAUAUCUGAUU